rnacentral:rRNA from 1 species
CUAAGACUGGAUAGGAGACAAGAAGGCAUCUUCUUGUUUUUAAAAGACCUAGCAAUAGGUAUGCUUAGGUAGGAGCUUGCGUCACAUUAGUUAGUUGGUGGGGUAAAGGCCUACCAAGACUAUGAUGUGUAGCCGGGCUGAGAGGUUGAACGGCCACAUUGGGACUGAGACACGGCCCAAACUCCUACGGGAGGCAGCAGUAGGGAAUUUUCGGCAAUGGAGGAAACUCUGACCGAGCAACGCCGCGUGAACGAUGAAGUAUUUCGGUACGUAAAGUUCUUUUAUUAGGGAAGAAUAAAUGAUGGAAAAAUCAUUCUGACGGUACCUAAUGAAUAAGCCCCGGCUAACUAUGUGCCAGCAGCCGCGGUAAUACAUAGGGGGCAAGCGUUAUCCGGAAUUAUUGGGCGUAAAGGGUGCGUAGGCGGUUAAAUAAGUUUGUGGUCUAAGUGCAAUGCUCAACAUUGUGAUGCUAUAAAAACUGUUUAGCUAGAGUAAGAUAGAGGCAAGUGGAAUUCCAUGUGUAGUGGUAAAAUGCGUAAAUAUAUGGAGGAACACCAGUAGCGAAGGCGGCUUGCUGGGUCUUUACUGACGCUGAGGCACGAAAGCGUGGGGAGCAAACAGGAUUAGAUACCCUGGUAGUCCACGCCGUAAACGAUGAGUACUAAACGUUGGGUAAAACCAGUGUUGAAGUUAACACAUUAAGUACUCCGCCUGAGUAGUACGUACGCAAGUAUGAAACUUAAAGGAAUUGACGGGACUCCGCACAAGCGGUGGAUCAUGUUGUUUAAUUCGAAGGUACCCGAAAAACCUCACCAGGUCUUGACAUGCUUCUGCAAAGCUGCAGAAACACAGUGGAGGUUAUCAGUUGCACAGGUGGUGCAUGGUUGUCGUCAGCUCGUGUCGUGAGAUGUUGGGUUAAGUCCCGCAACGAGCGCAACCCUUAUUGUUAGUUACCAGCACGUAAUGGUGGGGACUUUAGCAAGACUGCCAGUGAUAAAUUGGAGGAAGGUGGGGACGACGUCAAAUCAUCAUGCCCCUUAUGACCUGGGCUACAAACGUGAUACAAUGGCUGUUACAAAGGGUAGCUGAAGCGCAAGUUUUUGGCGAAUCUCAAAAAAACAGUCUCAGUUCGGAUUGAAGUCCGCAACUCGACUUCAUGAAGUUGGAAUCGCUAGUAAUCGCGAAUCAGCAUGUCGCGGUGAAUACGUUCUCGGGGUUUGUACACACCGCCCGUCA